GUUGUAAUUUGCAGAGGAUGCUUCGGGUGCAGCCCCCGUCUAAGUGCCCUGGAACGGGCCGUCAUAGAGGGUGAGAAUCCCGUCUGGGACGGGGUGUCUGCGUCCGUGUGAAGCUCCUUCGAAGAGUCGAGUUGUUUGGGAAUGCAGCUCUAAAUGGGUGGUAAAUUUCAUCUAAAGCUAAAUACUGGCCGGAGACCGAUAGCGCACAAGUAGAGUGAUCGAAAGAUGAAAAGCACUUUGAAAAGAGAGUUAAACAGCACGUGAAAUUGUUGAAAGGGAAGCGUUUGCGACCAGACUCGCUCGCGGGGUUCAGCCGGCAUUCGUGCCGGUGUACUUCCCCGUGGGCGGGCCAGCGUCGGUUUGGGCGGCCGGUCAAAGGCCCUCGGAAUGUAUCACCUCUCGGGGUUGUCUUAUAGCCGAGGGUGCAAUGCGGCCUGCCCGGACCGAGGAACGCGCUUCGGCUCGGACGCUGGCGUAAUGGUCGUAAAUGACCCGUCUUGAAACACGGACCAAGGAGUCUAACAUCUACGCGAGUGUUCGGGUGUCAAACCCGUACGCGCAGUGAAAGCGAACGGAGGUGGGAGCCCCCUCGUGGGGGCGCACCAUCGACCGAUCCUGAUGUCUUCGGAUGGAUUUGAGUACGAGCGUA
rnacentral:rRNA from 1 species